CCUACGGGAGGCAGCAGUGAGGAAUAUUGGUCAAUGGGCGCGAGCCUGAACCAGCCAAGUAGCGUGAAGGAUGACUGCCCUACGGGUUGUAAGCUUCUUUUAUAAAGGAAUAACGUGAGGAGCGUGUGCCUUUUUGUAUGUACUUUAUGCGUAAGGAUCGGCCAACUCCGUGCCAGCAGCCGCGGUAAUACGGAGGAUCCGAGCGUUGUCCGGAUUUGUUGGGUUUAAAGGGAGCGUAGAUGGGUUGUUAAGUCAGUUGUGAAAUGUUGCGGCUCAACCGUAAAAUUGCAAUUGAUACUGGCAGCCUUGAGUACAGUUGAGGUAGGCGGAAUUCGUGGUGUAGCGGUGAAAUGCUUAGAGAUCACGAAGAACUCCGAUUGCGAAGGCAGCUUACUAAACUGCCACUGACAUUGAUGCUCGAAAGUGUGGGUAUCAAACAGGAUUAGAUACCCCAGUAGUC
rnacentral:rRNA from 1 species